UACGUAGGGUGCGAGCGUUGUCCGGAAUUAUUGGGCGUAAAGAGCUUGUAGGCGGUUUGUCGCGUCUGCUGUGAAAAUCCGGGGCUCAACCCCGGACUUGCAGUGGGUACGGGCAGACUGGAGUGUGGUAGGGGAGACUGGAAUUCCUGGUGUAGCGGUGGAAUGCGCAGAUAUCAGGAGGAACACCGAUGGCGAAGGCAGGUCACUGGGCCGCAACUGACGCUGAGGAGCGAAAGCAUGGGGAGCGAACAGG
rnacentral:rRNA from 1 species